AGGAUUAUGGGAUCUUCAGUAUAUACAAGCUUCGAUGGGUCUUCAGGAUCAGGCUCUGGUUCCUUGUUAAGAAGAACAAAUUCUGGAGUUUCAUCUGAUCAAGCAAAUGUAACAUAAAUUAGUACUAGUGACACCUAUCAAAUUUUACAAUGGAAGGAUAAAAGGGUUCAUAAAAUUGAGUUUGUCGUAUGUCCGGAAGAUCCCUAACAUUCUGCUUCUUACUUCGGAGAAAGAAGGAAAAAGAAAUUCAUGUAUGGGUGGAUGUGCAGAGCAAAUUUUUUGAAUGAAUGCGAGAUGAAGAGGGCGUAUGUCUAUGGAUGAUGAAAUUAAUACCCUUUGACCACCAGUAUUCAAGCUCAGCAGGCAUGGGUAUCCUCAGUGGAGCUUUAUAGAAGGAGUUCAACCACAUUUCCCUUUCUUCAUCGACCUCAUGCACAUACGUUUUCCAAUAAUCAGGUACCUGACAAAGAAGUAUAAAUACUUUUCUAUGAGAAAAGAAGUAUUACAUGCUCAACUUCUUAAACCUGAUCAAUCAAUUUCCUGACUAAUUAAGUAUAUUGAUUUACUU